ACUUGGUUCAUUUAGGCCUUUCUCUGCAGAUCAUGAACAUACCAUUCGUGUGCCUGUUUAGUGUCACGCUUGCUCUGAGUGGGGGCUACUCGUUUGCUUCUGAGCACAGGGUAUAUAUUACCGGCUGUGAUAAUGGAGAAUGUCCGAAAAACUCGGUAUGCGAUCCAGAGGUAGACGAAUGUUAUUGUCCGGAGGGCACGGCAAUCGCCCUUGGCGGCUUUUCAUUUCUUUAUUGCCAAGUUGGCGCAUGUGAGGUCUUAGAAGAAGCGAGAGACGUAUGCUUACCAAAUGGAGUUUGUAAUGCUAGAGAAGGAUUCGCUUUUCUAGCCUUUUGUGAUUGUAAUGAGGGAUACUUUGGACCAAGGUGCAAUGAUUUGUGUGAUCAACAUUUGGACUGCAAUGGAGGAAAAUGCAUUGAGAGAGAUGAUGGAAUAAAAUUGUGUCAGUGUCCGCCGGGGAUAGAGGGAAACCAGUGCCAAGGUUUAUGUGAACAAGAUUCGGAUUGUAAUGGCGGAACAUGCGAGGAGAUAGCUGGCCAAAAAGUGUGCAAAUGUCUUUCGGGAGUCAAUUCUUACCUGUGUCAAGGUACAUCCACUACAACAGUGAAAUACAAUCCUCGAUUGCGACUCCUAGCGGCCGUGGGAGGAGGUGUUGGGGCCCUGCUGUUGAUUGCUGCACUCGGCGCGUCCUCGCUGUCACCCUCAGCCUUUUAAUAGGUUCUCAACAAGUUUUGAUGUUUUGAUUAAAUAAAAUCAUAAAUUGAACUGG
rnacentral:sRNA from 1 species